rnacentral:rRNA from 1 species
UACAGAGGUCUCAAGCGUUGUUCGGAUUCAUUGGGCGUAAAGGGUGCGUAGGUGGCGCUGUAAGUCAGGUGUGAAAUUUCGGAGCUUAACUCCGAAACUGCAUUUGAUACUGCGGUGCUUGAGUACUGGAGAGGAGAUUGGAAUUUACGGUGUAGCAGUGAAAUGCGUAGAUAUCGUAAGGAAGACCAGUGGACGAAGGCGAAUCUCUGGACAGUUACUGACACUGAGGCAGCGAAGGCCAGGGGAGCAAAACGGG